rnacentral:rRNA from 1 species
GAUGAACGCUAGCUACAGGCUUAACACAUGCAAGUCGAGGGGAAACGACAUCGAAAGCUUGCUUUUGAUGGGCGUCGACCGGCGCACGGGUGAGUAACGCGUAUCCAACCUGCCCACCACUUGGGGAUAACCUUGCGAAAGUAAGACUAAUACCCAAUGACGUCUCUAGAAGACAUCUGAAAGAGAUUAAAGAUUUAUCGGUGAUGGAUGGGGAUGCGUCUGAUUAGCUUGUUGGCGGGGUAACGGCCCACCAAGGCAACGAUCAGUAGGGGUUCUGAGAGGAAGGUCCCCCACAUUGGAACUGAGACACGGUCCAAACUCCUACGGGAGGCAGCAGUGAGGAAUAUUGGUCAAUGGGCGAGAGCCUGAACCAGCCAAGUAGCGUGCAGGAUGACGGCCCUAUGGGUUGUAAACUGCUUUUAUAAGGGAAUAAAGUGAGUCUCGUGAGACUUUUUGCAUGUACCUUAUGAAUAAGGACCGGCUAAUUCCGUG